UACGGAGGGUGCGAGCGUUGUCCGGAAUCACUGGGCGUAAAGGGCGCGUAGGUGGCGGUCCAAGUCAACGGUGAAAGCUCGGGGCUCAACCCCGAGUCGGCCGUCGAUACUGGGUUGCUUGAGCACUGUAGAGGCAGAUGGAAUUCCGGGUGUAGCGGUGGAAUGCGUAGAGAUCCGGAAGAACACCGGAGGCGAAGGCGGCUUGCUGGGCGUGAUCUGACGCUGAGGCGCGAAAGCGUGGGGAGCGAACAGG
rnacentral:rRNA from 1 species